rnacentral:rRNA from 1 species
AUUGAACGCUGGCGGCAGGCUUAACACAUGCAAGUCGAACGAGUGGCGGACGGGUGAGUAAUGCCUGGGAAUCUAGCUUAUGGAGGGGGAUAACUACGGGAAACUGUAGCGAAUACCGCGUACCAUAGGAUGAGCCCAAGUGGGAUUAGCUUGUAGGUGAGGUAACGGCUCACCUAGGCGACGCUCCCUAGCUGGUCUGAGAGGAUGAUCAGCCCCACUGGUACUGAGACACGGCCCAGACUCCUACGGGAGACAGCAGUGGGGAAUAUUGCUCAAUGGGCGCAAGCCUGGUUCAGCCAUGCCGCGUGUAUGAAGAAGGCCUUCUGGUUGUAAAGUACUUUCAGUCGGAAGGCGUUACCGACAGAAGAAGCGCCGGCUAACUACGUGCUAGCAGCCGCUGUAAUAC